rnacentral:misc_RNA from 1 species
GGAAGUAAAAGCCGUAACAAGGUUUCCGUAGGUGAACCUGCGGAAGGAUCAUUCAUAAUAAGUGUUUUAUGGCACUUUUUUAAAUCCAUAUCCACCUUGUGUGCAAUGUCAGGGUUGAUUUUUCUCUCGAGAGGAUCAACCCCAAACAUCAACUAUAUCUCAACUCUUUGUCUGAAAAAUAUUAUGAAUAAAACAAUUCAAAAUACAACUUUCAACAACGGAUCUCUUGGCUCUC